UACGUAGGGGGCAAGCGUUGUCCGGAAUUAUUGGGCGUAAAGAGCUCGUAGGCGGUCUGUCGCGUCUGCUGUGAAAACUCAGGGCUUAACCCUGAGCUUGCAGUGGGUACGGGCAGACUAGAGUGCGGUAGGGGAGACUGGAAUUCCUGGUGUAGCGGUGAAAUGCGCAGAUAUCAGGAGGAACACCGGUGGCGAAGGCAGGUCUCUGGGCAUUAACUGACGCUGAGGAGCGAAAGCAUGGGGAGCGAACAGG
rnacentral:rRNA from 1 species